GGGGAUAGCUCAGUGGUAGGGUGCAUGUUUAGCAUGCAUGAGGUCCUGGGUUCAAUCCCUGGUACCUCCA
rnacentral:tRNA from 1 species